rnacentral:ncRNA from 2 species
GAUUGAUAGACUCGUUCAGGUGCCCCUUUGUUGAUGAAUACAACCGAGGAGUGAAAAGGGAAUACGGUGAAAAUCCGUAACGUUGGGCCGGCGCUGUGUGCGGGGACGACGACUGCAGUAUGCCACUGCCGGAAUAGAAGAAAAAAAUUCUGGUGGGAAGGCGCAGUCGGAGAGUGAUCCGCGAGUCAGAAGACCUGCCUGAAUGAGAUAACGACU